UAACUUACCAAAUUGAGCUGGUG
rnacentral:miRNA from 1 species